GGGAGACGGAUCGUUUACUUUGAAAAAAUCAGAGUGUUUCAAGCAGGCAGCUCGCUCUUGCAUGGUACAGCAUGGGAUGAUUGAAUAGGACUCCGGUGCUAUUUUGUUGGUUUCGAACACCAGGAGUAAUGAUUAACAGGGACAGUCAGGGGCACUCGUAUUCCGUCGAGAGAGGUGAAAUUCUCAGACCAAUGGAAGACGAACCACUGCGAAAGCAUUUGCCAGGGAUGUUUUCACUGAUCAAGAACGAAAGUUAGGGGAUCGAAGACGAUCAGAUACCGUCGUAGUCUUAACCAUAAACCA
rnacentral:rRNA from 1 species